UGUGCCUACGGGAGGCAGCAGUGGGGAAUAUUGCACAAUGGGGGAAACCCUGAUGCAGCGACGCCGCGUGAGUGAAGAAGUAUUUCGGUAUGUAAAGCUCUAUCAGCAGGGAAGAUAAUGACGGUACCUGACUAAGAAGCUCCGGCUAAAUACGUGCCAGCAGCCGCGGUAAUACGUAUGGAGCAAGCGUUAUCCGGAUUUAUUGGGUUUAAAGGGUGCGCAGGCGGCGAGUUAAGUCAGCGGUAAGAUUUCGGGGCUCAACCCCGACGAGCCGUUGAAACUGGCUUGCUAGAGUGUGCGAGAAG
rnacentral:rRNA from 1 species